AGAAUUAGUUGCUGUUUUUGUUUCAGCCGAGGGUGAUGUCUGCUUUUUUGGUAUUGCUGUUGUUGUCUCUGGAAUAAAGCACUCAUCCUGGCCAGCACCAUCUUGACCUUAGAUGAGUAAGAUAUUCAAGCUGAGUGUCCACUCAACUGAAAUUAAGACUCUGGCCAACAGCUUAGCUAGACUGAGAGAACCUGUUGAACACUUACCAUCUCUACAUUCAAAAGCUGACUGCCCACUCCACUGAAAAUCUGACCCUGGCAGGAAAUAUGGACACCUCUGUAGCACCCGAUGACACAGUGACACACAUGAAGUUGGUGUCUUCAGUGAGACGUAAGGCAGUACUUUAGAGUUACAAACCCAGGUCUUAUAUGCAUCCUGAAAAACAAAGUGCAAAUUUUUUUCUGUUCCCUAAACCAAGGUCUAAGUUGGGGAAAGUUAAGUUGAUAAAUCUCUAACCAGACAAUUAAAAAAAGAGAUAACAUCUUCUUACAAAAGGUUAUUAUUACAAGAGGUAGUAGAGGGUAUAACUUUAAUGUGUUAAUGUGGAACUGUGAACUCAAGUACUAGAAAAAAAAACUACAGACUAUACAACCAAUAAUAGCAUCAAUGCUAGACUAAACCUAAAGCUUAUAUAGCGGUGUUUCUACAACAACCAAUCAUGCUAGCCAUGAAUGCAAAAUAUUUAUCUAUUUACUACUAUAUUUUAUCAGCAAAGUGGUUAAAAUAUAUAAAAAUGGAACGAUAUUUGUAUUGAUAAGAAAAAAGAAUAUAGAGAUUUAUCAAAAGCAUGGUAAAACCUUUGUUGAUUGCUCACAAAAAAGGUAAAAGAACUAAAUCUAAAAUUACAAAAGGCUGUAGAUAU